rnacentral:rRNA from 1 species
UACGGGGGGAGCAAGCGUUGUUCGGAUUUACUGGGCGUAAAGGGCGCGUAGGCGGUCAGCACAAGUCAGUUGUGAAAUCUCCGGGCUUAACCCGGAGCGGCCAAGUGAUACUGUAGUGCUAGAGUGCGGAAGGGGCUACUGGAAUUCUCGGUGUAGCGGUGAAAUGCGUAGAUAUCGAGAGGAACACCUGCGGCGAAGGCGGGUAGCUGGGCCGACACUGACGCUGAGGCGCGAAAGCCAGGGGAGCGAACGGG